ensembl:rRNA 5S_rRNA 5S ribosomal RNA
GUCUACGGCCAUACCACCCUGAACAUGCCCGAUCUCGUCUGAUCUCGGAAACUAAGCAGGGUAGGAACUUGUUAGUACUUGGAUGGGAGACUGCCUGGGACUACCAGGUGCUGUAGUCU